UUCCUUGAAAUCAUACAAGCCUGGUGUCCU
rnacentral:piRNA from 1 species